UGUGGCAGGCAGGCCUAACACAUUGCAAGUCGAACGGUAACAGGAAGCAGCUUGCUGCUUCGCUGACGAGUGGCGGACGGGUGAGUAAUGUCUGGGAAACUGCCUGAAUGGAGGGGGAUAACUACUGGAAACGGUGGCUAAUACCGCAUAACGUCGCAAGACCAAGAGGGGGACCUUCGGGCCUCUUGCCAUCAGAUGUGCCCAGAUGGGAUUAGCUUGUUGGUGAGGUAACGGCUCACCAAGGCGACGAUCCCUAGCUGGUCUGAGAGGAUGACCAGCCACACUGGAACUGAGACACGGUCCAGACUCCUACGGGAGGCAGCAGUGGGGAAUAUUGCACAAUGGGCGCAAGCCUGAUGCAGCCAUGCCGCGUGUAUGAAGAAGGCCUUCGGGUUGUAAAGUACUUUCAGCGGGGAGGAAGGUGUUGUGGUUAAUAACCGCAGCAAUUGACGUUACCCGCAGAAGAAGCACCGGCUAACUCCGUGCCAGCAGCCGCGGUAAUACGGAGGGUGCAAGCGUUAAUCGGAAUUACUGGGCGUAAAGCGCACGCAGGCGGUCUGUCAAGUCGGAUGUGAAAUCCCGGGGCUCACCCUGGGAACUGCAUUCGAAACUGGCAGGCUUGAGUCUGGUAGAGGGGGGUAGAAUCCAGGUGUAGCGGUGAAAUGCGUAGAGAUCUGGAGGAAUACCNGGUGCGAAGGCGGCCCCCUGGACAAAGACUGACGCUCAGGUGCGAAAGCNUGGGACCCACAGGAUUGAUCCGUGGUUUAAAAAA
rnacentral:rRNA from 1 species